rnacentral:rRNA from 1 species
CACGUAGGCGGCCUGGUAAGUCAGAUGUGAAAGCCCGGGGCUUAACCCCGGAAGUGCAUUUGAUACGGUCAGGCUUGAGUAUGGGAGAGGGAAGUGGAAUUCCUGGUGUAGAGGUGAAAUUCGUAGAUAUCAGGAGGAACACCGGUGGCGAAGGCGACUUCCUGGACCAAUACUGACGCUGAGGUGCGAAGGCGUGGGUAGCAAACAGGAUUAGAUACCCUGGUAGUCC